AAAACUUUUUCAGCGAUAAUAUUCGAAAAUAUGGCGUUUGCAUUGGUGAAUUUUUACAACGAAAAUACAUGGAUAUCAUUCCAUAUUCUAACAUGAUUUUUGAGGAUGAAAAUAUGUCGAAAGACAAAGAUGAACUUUAAAGGAUUCAAAACGUUAGUCAUGUGAGGCGAUGGAAAAACAAAGGGAAACGGCAAGUCGAGGAAAUUUCCUGCAGAGAUAAUUGAGGUUUCAGAUAAUAAAGAUUAUUUACUCAAGACAAUGAGAAAAGAAGAAACUUUCUCUAUAAAUACUGGCAAAGGGUAUCGCAAAAGAAUUCACAAAGCAAAGUUUACAAUUGAAAGUGUUAGUGAAUCAGAUGAAGUGCAGGAGCACAGUAUUCCUAAAAAGCUAAAGGCAUCCAGGACAAAGAAAACGGAGUUUUGCUGCUCAGCCAGUCUUGCUUCACUUAUAAAAGAGUGAUUAACCAAGGAGAGUCAGUCAGAUGAAGGUAUUGCACUUUGCAAUGAUAAAUGCAAGUAUAAAAAAGAAGCCUUGGAACUCAAAGAGAGGGUAAAAAUGCUGGAAAAUCAGAUCAAAAGACUUAAUGAGCAAAUUGACAAUGGCAAUGUUGGAUGUUUUGAAAGGGUUGAACAUUGAUUACUUUUUCGUGGCUGACGUGAAUGUUGAAGUGCAUGGCUCAAAGUCUGUCUUACAAUACUGCAAAAGAAAGAGCAUCCCCGCUUCAUUUUUACUUUAGUAAACAGCUCUAGAGCAAUUAAGUCAACCGACAACGUUCAAACUGUUACCGAGAAUCGCAUGGCAAGAUUGAAACAGAAGAGAAAAUCUUUGCGUGAUAUUUUAAAUCAGAAAUACUGUGAAGCAACUGGAAUGGACAAAGCGAAAGUGCCAUACACUUCUCUUUUGAAAGGGGAUUUCAAAUAUGUAGUAUGCGGAAUUCCAGAACACGCAUCAUUACGGGAUCCAUCGACUAUGGGAGAAGCAGCAUUGGAUGUAUAUAUUGAAAAAUCAAUUGAGCUUACGUUUGUGGAAAGGGCGUUAGUGGAAGGAAAUGAUGUUCUUCAUGCAGAAAAUGUUGAGGAAUGUGACAAAGAGCAAGACAAGGGCGGCCACGUCCAAGAAGUUGUUGAAGUUAGCGGUGAGAAUGAUGAUAAUUGUCAUGGCGAACUUGUUAACAACGUUUCCGACGAAUGUGAUGUUGGCCAUGGACAAAGAACUAAUAGUGUUGAUAAUGGUUGUAAAAAUGGUGAUGUCCCCGGCGAUAGAGAAGAUGUUGUAAAUAAUGGUAGCGAUGAUGGUGGUAAUUCUUCGAAUGUAUUUUGUGGAUGACACGGAACAGUUAAUGAAGGUGACGGACACCUUGUAACAGAAAACGCCGUGCCUAAGAAAGUUGAUAAAAAACACAGAAAGGGAAGGAGUAACAACAAAAGAAAAAGAAAAGAGGCAAAGUCGAGUGACAGAAAAAGUGUGUCUUGUGCAAAGAAAAGAGCUAGUCAUUUGACAUCCUAUGACAAAUGUAAAGCCUUUCUUUGUCAAGAACCAUCUUCCAAAGAUAAUGGAAUGGUGGAUUGGGUGUUGCGUGAUGUAUGUCAACAAUGGUACCAUUUGGAUUGCGUUGGCAUUACGACGAAGCCGAAAGGAAAAUUUGAUUGCGGAGGCAAUGUAUCUUACUUUACUCAUGGAUCUGCGAAAACAUUUGACAUAAAUAUAAAGGGAAAUCGCUCAUUCAGAGGAUUAAAGACACAUUUAACAAAAAUCGUCAACGGUGCCAUACCCAGUAAAUCAUCCAUGGGCGAAAUCAAGCUCAGACUGAACUCACCGAUCUCUACAUGACGUGUCCUUUAACUCGAACUCAAGCAAAAGAUCUGUUGAAUGUAGUCAAAGAAAUAGUCGCAGAUAUUUUUCGAUCCUUUGAUGAAACGAAUUCAAUGAACAUCAACUACACGUAUAACGUUUUAUUCCCUGAGGCCUGCAUAUAUUGUAUACGAAAAACUGAGCGUUGUCUCCGAAAUAACGCUGAAAAAAUUUUAUAAUUGUGCGAGUGGAGUUCAAGACGGUGCAGACUCUGAAAGUGACUAACCUUGUUGUUUACCGAAAAACCUGAAAGCUGUAGUAGAUCUUGUAAAAAUUUGAGGAUUUGUGCAGUACGCAAGCAAAAAGAACUAAAAAAUUUUUGGGGUGCGAUUUACAUCGUCAAAUGUACAAAAGGAUUUUCAAGAGCUUGAAGUGCCUGCACAACCCCGUUAUACAUCAUCGCUGGUGAUUUCAUAGUCGUGUGUAAAAAUAUCGCUUUACCAUAUUUCAACAUCAAGAUUUGCUCUUCCUUGGAUCGGUGAAGCAAAUGGCAUAAAUCUAUAGCUAAUCCACAUAACGAGCAUCAAUAAUUAUGUGUCAAAUCUGUUCCUUAGCUACAAGCCAUUAUUUCUCAAUUACUGACCAGUCUCAACUUCACGACCAAAAAUAGUCGAUUUGUCCUUCAUCUACUUACGAAUAUCAUCUAUUGAAAUCCUGUGAGAUUUAGAUAAUGAAAAAAAGAAAAUUUACUGCUUUCAUGUGAAUAGUUCAUAUCCAAAUCGGAGUCAAAUAUAAUCACACAGCAAAUACAAACAUAUACUCAAACGGAAAGCACCUGCAUAACUUUUCAAUAUCUGAUUUUGCAGUUUCUUCCACAUCAACAGCUCGCUUCAUCAUUACCAUCAG